GAUGAACAUCAGAAAAAGGAUGAUGUUCCUGAAAAAAUAUUUGAAAUUCAAGAAAGAAAUGGUACGUACUCUAAAAAUCAUUAUUCACCAACCUCUUUAACAUAACAGACUCCUUGAUGUCUUAACAUUCCCAGAUUCUUAAUUUCUGUGCUUUUGCUGGUAUUUCCCUUCCCUUGAAUGUGUACCUUUAUGUCUACAAAUUUAAUUAUAAACUUCCUGAUGGAAAGUUCUUGCCAUCUCAUCUCCCCAUCUAAAGUCCGUUUCAAUUCUUCCUUUUCCCAUUCUAGAUCAUUCUUUCCCAUAAAAAUUACCAUUUUUUUUCUGCUUUCCAGAUACAAGUUAUAGGCACACAUAGAGAUAAAGACAUUAUGUUAAAAGGCAGAGGGUUCCAUUCUGUUUCUCUUCCAGGACACAUGCCCAGUUAGGACUUCCAUCAUAUGCCCAUUUCUAGGGCCCACAUUUAUGCCAAUGAGAUGUCCCCAAACCCACAGAAAUCAGAUAGCAUGUCCAGUGGGCUGAGUGAAGUUGGCCAAUUCAUUGACCCUUCAAAGCUGUGUGUAUUCUGUUAUUUUUCCUUGCUUGGCCAUGAACUUAUUUGCUCCUUUGACUUUUAUGAGUAAAUGUGAAAAGAAAACAAGCAAAUCCCGUUAAUGUGUAUUCCUGUGUCCCUAGCCAUGGUUCCAUCUGAUACAGUAUUUUGGUCAUUAGUCAAAAUCUCCAUCUUUUUCUUUUUUCUGUUUUUUAUUUAUUUAUUAUAAAUUUAUUUAUUUACAUAUUAUUAAUGUUAAUAUUACCACAGCUCACCCUAAUGCCGGAUUCUUAUCCCAGAGAGCAAGGCCAGGGAUCAAACCUACACCCUGAUGAACACUAGAUGGGUUCCUUUCGACUGUGCCUCAAUAGGAACACUCACCACCAUCUUUUUCAAAAACCAUAUCCUAACAUUCUUCUUACAUGACUCCUUUCUCAGCUCCUUGUCUUCUCAAGGUAUACUGCACGUUCCUUUGUUAUUCACUUUCCCGCAUUGGUAUUUCUGUGAUUUGUGCUGCUGCUGCAAUAUCUGCAGGCAUUUUCUUCCUGUACAGUAAUGCUAGUCAUCACAUCCCUCUGAAGCGCUGUCAUUUUCAGUGUGGAUGGUGUGUAAUGUGUCUGUCCAAGAAAAGUUCCUGUCCUGCUAUUUAAACACGCGUUGGUGGCGUCGAAUGUUUUAUUUCCCUCUUUUUCAUGAGAUUUAAUUCGGACAUCUUCAUUUAGGCUUGGGUUGAAAUACAAAAACAAGAUCAAGUAUUCCUCAGUUGAUAUAAAUGUGAACAGAGACAUCCAGUACAUAACCAAGAGUAACCUCUAGACAUGGUCUCUAAUCUUCUGAUUCAGUGUUUGUGUCCAGUUUACUGACCACGGCUUCCCCAAACCCCGAUCAUGUGUACCAGCAGCCAAAGAGCUUUUUGGAUCGUACAAACUGAAAAUGACAACCAAACUAAUGACAAGUCAGUUGAGAAAUUUUUAAAAGUAAACUCUAGGACUAAGAGUCUAAAUAUCUCUACAAAUACAAUAAAUUUCUCAGUUAAUGCUCCUCUCCAUUUCUGGAUAAGAGACGAACAGGAGUAAGGUUUGAACAAUGUGGAUGUGUGAGCAUGUGGGUGUGUGUGUGUGUGUUUGUAUAUCUGCAUGGUUUAUAAUUGUGUUCCUAUUUAGGGUUUGUAUCUGACCAUUAGCAAAUUUAUUAUAAAUGCAAAACAUUCAAUAAAAUUGAACUACCUUUUUCUUUGUUUCUUUUGAUAUUAACAAGUGUUAACAUGGAUGUUUUCAUUUUAUUUCUCAUAUUUUGGGGGGAAAAUUGGUAAAUUUUUCUGACAGCCUUUGGCCCACAACCUUUUAAAGGAAUGCUAACAUUUCCUGUCUUUCUAUGUGAAUGCCACCCAUUGGCUCACCCUUCCCCUCUCCCCUCCCCAGUGUUUUGGCUACGGUCUACACCAUAUUAAUUUUCCCCAUCCCUUCUUCCAAAUUCCAUCCCUUUCCGGCUCUUCUUUGUCAGUGCAUACAUUUUCUUCUCUGAAACAGUAGGGUUUGUUUCAUUUUUUUAAUGUCUCCAGUGAUGUGCCCUGAUUUUGUUAGGAUUUUUGUACAGAGGAGGGGUACUAAAGUGAGUAUUAGAAGUUUGCCUUUUGCAUUUGUCAUUCAAUGUCCUGCAUUAGUUCUUCCAUGAUUUCUCUUCUUGAUACAAUACAGGCAGGCAUUACUUUUGUGUCUAAAGCUUACUAAUGAUAUAUUUCAAAGUUUUGCCAUUUUCAAGCUUCUGAAGUGUGACAUUUAUGUGUGCUCAGUUGUUUGUUUUAAAACCAAUUCCACUAUCAUGUAGUAAUUAAAUCCUUUUUCCAUGUGGUUUUGUUAAGACAUGAGUCACUUAGGUUUUUUGCUAAACAUAAGAAGUCACAUUACAGGGGUUUAUAUAUUCAUCAGCUGACAAAAGUGUGAAUUGAAUUAUCCAGGAAAUGAACCCUGCGUUUUCUGUAACACAGUGCUUCAUGAUGUUAUUUCAUUGUUCAUGUCUUCUUAGUACGUUUAACGUUUUACAAUAAUGAAGUUGACUCCACCUAGUUAGUAACUGCCGAAGAACUUAUUGGAGCUAAUAAAAAUAAUAUUCACCCUAAAUGUCUAAAAAGGUAAGGAACAUAUUUUAAAGUUAAACUUCAGAACUGUUAUUGUAGUCAUUUUUCUCAAUUAAGACAAUACAUUUAUCUUUUUAUCCUAUUUCCCUUUGGGAGAAUAGUCCCCUAACAAAAUGAGCUCUCAACCAUAUUGAGUCGUGUGUGUGUGUGUGUGUGUGUGAGUGUGUGUGUGUGUGUGUGUUGAGUUAAUUAUUAAUUUAAAAGAUGAAUUUUGUGAAAACGUUUUUCUUGAUGUUUCAUUUCUAUGACAUUGACCUUAAACUUUCCAUUUUAUUUCCCUAAAGUACCUCAGGAAAGAAAUGGUAAGUAUUCUAAAAUCUCGUUACUCAAACCUCAUUCAUAUGACUGAUUUCUCGCAGGCUUAACGUUCUAAAUCGCUUAAUCUGUAUGCUUUUCUUUGUCUUGUCUUUCUGCUGGGUGUCUGUGUUUAUUCCAAGUAAUGUUAUUUUUAAACGAUAAUUUUUAUUUCAAGAGAAUACAUUUUAAGUAUAUUUGGAUUUAAUGUUUGUUUGAAGCUGUAUAUAAGUCCAUCUGCACACAGAGUAUUGUACAAUGGUGGCUUUAGUCAAUCUAUGCUUUCUCUCUCUUUUGAAGUACCUCUUCUUGUGUAUGAGUGUGUCUUUUCCUUUUAUUCUGGAAAAGGGUUGAGACCCAGUACACACCAGUGAUUGGCACAUUCCAUAUCCUUGAAACCAGAGGGAGUGCCAAUUCUACUUCCUUGCAUUCUGCGAUGUGCAGCUUAGCCCCCUUGCCAUUAGGAAGGAUACGAAAGUGAAAUCUCAUUUCCUUUGAAGUGAGGUGGUCUUUGAACUUGGCAGUUUUAAUUCUCAGAAGACAGUUCUCAGAAACAACUUUGGAAGUGUUUGAAAGAUUUGACCUUCUCCUUUCUGACACUGUGCCCUCCCUUUCAAUGAACUGUUUCUUUCUUUCUUUUAGUUACGAAUAAACGUCAAGAAGAAAAGGGUAAGUCCCAUGAUUGCAUUUCCUUGUAUACCGAAACAUGGUUUCAUCUGUUACUUGUGCCUUUCCCUUCACUUGCAAAGAUUAUAGUUCUCAACUCCAACAUCUGCAUAUUUUACAUGCUCUUCUGUCAAAUCUGAAUCUUAUCUUUACAACGGUAGGUUUCCACUUUUAUUCGCUAUUGAAUUAUCCCAAAAUAUUGCUCUUUGACUAGUCUUAUAUUUGCAAUAUAUGCAGACAUUCCUUCUCAGUCAAGGUGCUUUACUGGUGCUUCAUUUAUCACAUAAUAUUGGACUGUAACCUGGACUGUUUGAAUGUUAUAUGUCACAGAAACACUGAAAUCUUUUAUAUAUUCUCUUUUUUUUAAUCUUUUCAUCUUUUCUAGCAUAGCACCCACGGCAUAUGGAGGUUCCCAGGCUAGGGGUCCAAUUGGAGCUACAGCUGCUGGCCUACUCCAGAGCCACAGCAAUGCGGGAUCCGAGCCUCGUCUGCAACCUACACCGCAGUUUAUGGCAACGAAGGAUCCUUAACCCACUGAGUGAGGCCAGGGAUUGAAUCUGCACCCUCAUGGAUCCUAGUCAGAUUCGUUAACUGAGCCAAUACGGGAACUCCAUGAAAUCUUUUGUAUAUUCUUAAACAGUAUGGAAUUAUUUGCUUUAGCGGACACUUAACUUGUUUAAACUCAAACUGCAAGCACUACAAUGCCUGUGGUGGUUGACAAAGCACUCUCAGUUUGGGUUUUAUUAUAAGUCAUCCCCAUAAGCUCAUGGCUGAAAUUCAAAGGGAUUUAGGACAAGUUCGUAUGUCGCUCUGGGGUUCUCUUUUUUGGUUCUCCUCUCCUGCAUUCCUCUUUCAUUCUCCUGUGUUCUUAGUUCUUUCUCUGGUCCCUAGAUACAAAAAUAAGAGACUUUCUAUUAGACUAUAUGCAGCAUUGCUAACUGGGUGCCCUCAGGGUAAGCACACGACAAUUAGGAAGCCUGAUUUAUCCUGGUCACUUGCUUCACGGUUUGACUCGCCAACAAAUUUGGUCUGCAUUUGUUCACUCUCCAGGGCUUCCAGUAGUUGCUUCGUAUAUUUCAUCCAAAGAUUAUGGUUACCUUCUACGAGGAGGGUCAAUUUGUUAGCAGGCUAAUUUCUCCCUAUAGAGGCAAACUCUUAGGGCUUAAAAACAUACCAGCCCAUUUUAAUAUCUGUCAAAUUUAUUUCCUAAAUGUUCACAGUGAUUUACCCUCUUGGCAGGAUAUGAAAAUUCCAGUUACUCCACAUGUUCACCAAAACUUGGCCUUAUCAGCAUCUGAUUUUAGAUAUUCUAGAGAAUGCAUAGCAUUAUCACAUGUUUAAUUUGCAUUCUUCCGAUGGAUGAUGGAGUUGAGAAUAUUUGCAAAUAUGGAUUUAGUGUAAAAAUACAUAUUGUAUAGUAAAAAAAAGUCCACUCCUGCAACUUCGAGGUAAUGUACCUCAAUAGGCUAAUAUAAAUAUAAUAUUGGUCAUACAAACAAGCGCAGCUAGCAUCUCAAUAGAGAAAAGCUGAAAGGCUUUCCUCUAAGAUCAGAAAGGAUGUGUGUCCACUCCUGCAACUUCCACUCAACAUAGUUCAGGUAUACCUCUUUUUACUGCAUUUCAUCCUACUGUGUUUUGCAGAUAUCACAUUUUGUACAAACCGAACAUCUGUGGCAACCCUGCCUUGUCAGAUGAUGGUUAGCUCUUUUCAGCAGUAAAGUAUUUUUUAAUUGAGAUAUGCACAUUUUUAGACAAAAUUCUAUUGUGCACUUAAUAGACAGUAGAAUAGUGGAAACAUAACUUUUAUAUGCACUAGGGAACCAAACAUUCAUGUGACAUAUGUUAUUGAAUAUUUCCUAUAUUAUGGUGGUCUGGAACUGCAGCUGCAAUAUCGCCAAGGUAUGUUUGUACUCAAAAUCCUAGCCAGGGCAUUAAGGUAAUAAAAAAAAUGAAAGGUAUCCC
rnacentral:lncRNA from 1 species